GAGGGUAUAGCCCAGUGGUAGAGCGUAUGCUUAGCAUGCAUGAAGUCCUGGGCAUGCAUGAGGUUGUGGGUUCAAUCCCCAGUACCUCCA
rnacentral:tRNA from 1 species